UACGUAGGGGGCUAGCGUUGUCCGGAAUUAUUGGGCGUAAAGAGCGUGUAGGCGGUUAGGUAGGUCCGUUGUGAAAACUCGAGCUCAACCUCGAGACGCCGAUGGAAACCCCCUAACUAGAGUCCGGAAGAGGAGAGUGGAAUUCCUGGUGUAGCGGUGAAAUGCGCAGAUAUCAGGAAGAACACCCCGUGGCUAAGGCGGCUCUCUAGUACGGUACUGACGCUGAGAGCGAAAAGCGUGGGGGGAGCGAAACAGGG
rnacentral:rRNA from 1 species